rnacentral:rRNA from 1 species
AAUGAACGCUGGCGGCAUGCCUAACACAUGCAAGUCGAACGACACCUUCGUGUCUUCUUGCUCUUGCGUGUGUCGCGCGUCGGAACCUUCCCUUAUAUUCCGAAUUCCUCUUUUUCAUGGGUGCUAAUACCGGUUAACUUCUUCUAAUCCAAGAUUUAUCGCCCUUGGAUGGGCCCGCGUUCUAUUAGCUUUUUGGUAGGGUAAAAGCCUACCAAGGCGAAGCUCCUUAGCUGGUCAGAGAGGAAGAGCAGCCACACUGGGACUGAGACACGGCCGGGAAUACUACGGGAGGGAGGAGAGGGGAAUAUUGGACAAUGGGCGAAAGCCUGAUCCAGCAAUGCCGCGUGAGUGAUGAAGGCCGUAGGGAAGUAAAGCUGUUUUACCCGGGAUGAUAAUGACAGUACCGGGAGAAUAAGCUCCGGCUAACUCCGUG